rnacentral:rRNA from 1 species
UACGAAGGGGGCUAGCGUUGCUCGGAAUCACUGGGCGUAAAGCGCACGUAGGCGGAUUGUUAAGUCAGGGGUGAAAUCCUGGAGCUCAACUCCAGAACUGCCUUUGAUACUGGCGAUCUUGAGUUCGGGAGAGGUGAGUGGAACUGCGAGUGUAGAGGUGAAAUUCGUAGAUAUUCGCAAGAACACCAGUGGCGAAGGCGGCUCACUGGCCCGAUACUGACGCUGAGGUGCGAAAGCGUGGGGAGCAA